UUAAUGGGCGUCGAGCGGCGGACGGGUGAGUAAUGCCUAGGAAAUUGCCUUGAUGUGGGGGAUAACCAUUGGAAACGAUGGCUAAUACCGCAUAAUGCCUACGGGCCAAAGAGGGGGACCUUCGGGCCUCUCGCGUCAAGAUAUGCCUAGGUGGGAUUAGCUAGUUGGUGAGGUAAUGGCUCACCAAGGCGACGAUCCCUAGCUGGUCUGAGAGGAUGAUCAGCCACACUGGAACUGAGACACGGUCCAGACUCCUACGGGAGGCAGCAGUGGGGAAUAUUGCACAAUGGGCGAAAGCCUGAUGCAGCCAUGCCGCGUGUAUGAAGAAGGCCUUCGGGUUGUAAAGUACUUUCAGUUGUGAGGAAGGGUGUGUAGUUAAUAGCUGCGCAUCUUGACGUUAGCAACAGAAGAAGCACCGGCUAACUCCGUGCCAGCAGCCGCGGUAAUACGGAGGGUGCGAGCGUUAAUCGGAAUUACUGGGCGUAAAGCGCAUGCAGGUGGUUCAUUAAGUCAGAUGUGAAAGCCCGGGGCUCAACCUCGGAACUGCAUUUGAAACUGGUGAACUAGAGUGCUGUAGAGGGGGGUAGAAUUUCAGGUGUAGCGGUGAAAUGCGUAGAGAUCUGAAGGAAUACCAGUGGCGAAGGCGGCCCCCUGGACAGACACUGACACUCAGAUGCGAAAGCGUGGGGAGCAAACAGGAUUAGAUACCCU
rnacentral:rRNA from 1 species